rnacentral:tmRNA from 1 species
GGGGAUGUAAGCUUUGACAGAAGAACUUUUAUAAAAUAAGCAAACCGAGUAUUCUCAAAUCUCGUAAAACUUUGAGAAAAUCUAAUAAGUGUCAACUUAUUUAAAAAACCAGCAUUAGCAUACGCUUAAUGCUCAUCCUCUCUGCUAAUUCCUAAUAAGCAGAAUAGGGUGUCAUAUAUUAGGACAACUUAGUUCUUUUGCCUCAAAGAACUAUAGUAAAUUAUGAGGCUAGGGGUGUUAGAUUUUUGUCUGUUCUCUAUUUAACAUCUAACUUGCCCGCCAAAGCCUUUGGUGAAGGCGGGAAACCGAAACAGACUAAGUUUGUAGAAUUAUUUUGUAAAAUCUUUUGGACGGGAGUUCAAUCUCCCCAUCUCCACUA